ensembl:lncRNA novel transcript, antisense to YES1
AAAAAACAAAAAUGGAUUGCCAACCUCCCCUACCAUAGAGUGUCUAACUCAGAAGCAUGAACUGGCGUGGCAUAUGCCUGUUGCCUAUGUAUAGUUUCUCAGUAUAAAGCUUUUCUGAAUUGUCAGAUUCUGUGGACAUUUGGAGGCUAGGAGGUAAGAUUCCAAAACCAGCAUGUCAACCAAAGCCAAUAAUAAGGCCUCUCAAAUACCUACCACAUAUCUGAAGAGAAACUUUUAACAGUUUUCACUAUAUAUUUAAAACAAAAAGUCAGAAGAGUAAAAAAGUCCCAUUUUAAACUGUAUAUAUACCAUCUUAAUUCUUGUGUUGGACUAUAGUAAAUAACAAAUUCAGGCCAGGUAAUCCCAAUACUUUGGGAGGCUGAGGUGGGAGGAUCCUUUGAGCCAAGGACUUUGAGACUAGCCUAAGCAACACAGAGAGAUCCCUGUGUCUACAAAAAAAAUAA